AGAGAGAGAGAGAGCCGAGACUGAGCCUUAUAGCACUGCUGAAGCUCCAGCUCCAAAGUCUCCGCCUUCUCCUUCCAUUAUGAGCCCUAAAACGUAAUCAAAACCCCAAACCAAUCCACAAUUAUAAUCAUUUCAAUAAAACGAAUACUGAUAACAUUCAACACACAGCUCAUCACUUAAUCAAAAAUUCCACACGCUUCGAAGUUUCGAAAACUUUAGCAACAAUCAAAACCUUAGAAAUUCACAGAUAUAGUUUACCAAUUGAGCAAUCGGAUUGGCGAGAGCGAUGUAGGCUGGAGCAUGAGCGCCUUCUUCGAGUAAUUGUCGCUGCUGCAGGGCCUUCAGCGCGUGCUUUAUUGCUCUCCUAGCUACCUCCUCAUGUGACCUGCACAAAAUUCAUCAUCAUCUUCAUCAACCAAAACCCCUAAAAUUUGAUCAAGACCAAAACCGAACUACUUGUAUUGAGCUCUACUUACAUAUUUGACCGAAUCGGAGAGUAUCGUUAGGGCUUCAGACGGAGGAAGCGAUCAUGUCCAGGGGCAAUUCGGGAAUGUGAAAACGGUGAUGAUGGUGAAAUUCGCCGAGGUGAAAACGGGAAAUUGAUUUCGUCGGGAAAGCGCGGUGGUUCGAAUGUCGUUGGGGAUUAGUGAGAGGUUGGAAUUGGAUUGGGAUUGAGAGGGAGAGAGAUAGGAGAGAGAGAGUGUGAGAGAGAGAGAGCCGAGACUAAGCCUUAUAGCACUGCUGAAGCUCCAACUCCAAAGUCUUCGCCUUCUCCUUCCAUUCUGAGCCCUAAAACGUGAUCAAAACCCCAAACCAAUCCACAAUUAUAAUCAUUUCAAUAAAACGAAUACCGAUAACAUUCAACACACAGCUCAUCACUCAAUCAAAAAUUCCACACGCUUCAAAGUUCCGAAAACUUUAGCAACAAUCAAAACCUUAGAAAUUCACAGAUAUAGUUUACCUGUUGAGCAAUCGGAUUGGCGAGAGCGAUGUAGGCUGGAGCAUGAGCACCUUCUUUGAGUAAAUGCCGCUACUGUAGAGCCUUGAACACGUGCUUUAUCGCUCUCCUAGCUACCUCCUCCUGCGACCUGCACCAAAUUCAUCAUCAUCUUCAUCAACCAAAACCCCUAAAAUUUGAUCAAGACCAAAACCGAACUACUUAUAUUGAGCUCUACUUACAUAUUUGACCGAAUCGGAGAGUAUCGUUAGGGCUUCAGACGGAGGAAGCGAUCAUGUCCGGGGGCAAUUCGGGAAUGUGAAAACGGUGAUGACGGUGAAAUUCGCCGAGGUGAAAACGGGAAAUUGAUUUCGUCAGGAAAGUGCGGCGGUUCGAAUGUCGUUGGAGAUUAGUUAGAGGUUGGAAUUGGAUUGGGAUUGAGAGAGAGAGAGAGAGAGAGAGAGAGAGAGAGAGAGAGAGAGAGAGAGAGAGAGAGNNNN
rnacentral:lncRNA from 1 species